rnacentral:rRNA from 1 species
UACGAAGGGGGCUAGCGUUGCUCGGAAUCACUGGGCGUAAAGCGCACGUAGGCGGCUCUUUAAAUCAGGGGUGAAAUCCUGGAGCUCAACUCCAGAACUGCCCUUGAUACUGAGGAGCUUGAGUCCGGGAGAGGUGAGUGGAACUGCGAGUGUAGAGGUGAAAUUCGUAGAUAUUCGCAAGAACACCAGUGGCGAAGGCGGCUCACUGGCCCGGUACUGACGCUGAGGUGCGAAAGCGUGGGGAGCAAACAGG